UGGGGGAUAUUGCACAAUGGGGGGAAACCCUGAUGCAGCAACGCCGCGUGAAGGAAGAAGGUCUUCGGAUUGUAAACUUUUGUCCUUGGUGAAGAUAAUGACGGUACCCAAGGAGGAAGCCCCGGCUAACUACGUGCCAGCAGCCGCGGUAAUACGUAGGGGGGCGAGCGUUAUCCGGAAUUAUUGGGCGUAAAGAGUGCGUAGGUGGUUACCUAAGCAGGGGGUGAAAGGCACUGGCUUAACCAAUGUCAGCCCUCUGAACUGGGCUACUUGAGUGCAGGAGAGGAAAGCGGAAUUCCUAGUGUAGCGGUGAAAUGCGUAGAUAUUAGGAGGAACACCAGUGGCGAAGGCGGCUUUCUGGACUGUAACUGACACUGAGGCACGAAAGUGUGGGGAGCAAACAGGAUUAGAUACCCUGGUAGU
rnacentral:rRNA from 1 species